rnacentral:rRNA from 1 species
UACGUAGGGGGCAAGCGUUGUCCGGAAUUACUGGGCGUAAAGGGCGCGUAGGCGGGUCGUUAAGUUAGAGGUGAAAGCCCAGGGCUCAACCCUGGAAUUGCCUUUAAUACUGUCGACCUCGAGUAUGGCAGAGGUGUGUGGAACUCCGAGUGUAGAGGUGAAAUUCGUAGAUAUUCGGAAGAACACCAGUGGCGAAGGCGACACACUGGGCCAUUACUGACGCUGAGGCGCGAAAGCGUGGGGAGCAAACAGG